UUACGGUCAAAACACGCUGAAAACACCGGUUCUCGUUCGAUCACCGAAGUUAAGCAUCGUAGUACUUAGAUGGGGGACCGCUUGGGAACAUCAAGUACUGUAAG